rnacentral:rRNA from 1 species
UUUCCGUAGGUGAACCUGCGGGAGGAU